rnacentral:rRNA from 1 species
GAUGAACGCUGGCGGCGUGCCUAAUACAUGCAAGUCGAGCGAAUGGAUUGAGAGCUUGCUCUUAUGAAGUUAGCGGCGGACGGGUGAGUAACACGUGGGUAACCUGCCCAUAAGACUGGGAUAACUCCGGGAAACCGGGGCUAAUACCGGAUAACAUUUUGAACCGCAUGGUUCGAAAUUGAAAGGCGGCUUCGGCUGUCACUUAUGGAUGGACCCGCGUCGCAUUAGCUAGUUGGUGAGGUAACGGCUCACCAAGGCAACGAUGCGUAGCCGAACUGAGAGGGUGAUCGGCCACACUGGGACUGAGACACGGCCCAGACUCCUACGGGAGGCAGCAGUAGGGAAUCUUCCGCAAUGGACGAAAGUCUGACGGAGCAACGCCGCGUGAGUGAUGAAGGCUUUCGGGUCGUAAAACUCUGUUGUUAGGGAAGAACAAGUGCUAGUUGAAUAAGCUGGCACCUUGACGGUACCUAACCAGAAAGCCACGGCUGACUACGUGCCAGCCGCCGCAGUAA